rnacentral:lncRNA from 1 species
UCCAUUAUUGUCACCACUAAAACCAAAACCUCCAUUGCCCAUUCCCAAACCGAAACCUCCAUUUCCCAUUCCCGACCCGAAACCUCCUCCACCGCCAAUGUUUGACCCGAAACCUGAUCCAAUGUUUGAUCCAAAACCCGACCCACUUCCAAUUUCAGUUCCAGUUCCAGCUCCGAAACCCAUUCCACCACCACCUAGGCCACUUUCCCCCGAUAUUCCUCCAAAAGGACCGAAUCCUAAACCCGGCCCUGCACCAAAUCCAGGCCUGCCAAGCCCGUGACCACCAAGAAAUGGUGAUAAAGGGUGGGGAAAAAGGAUCUUUUCUUCAUCUUCUC